AUGCCCUCGGCCGCCUCCUGUAACACCAUCUGCACAAAACUCCGAUUCCCCUCUCCGCCGGCAAUCGCGUCGCGCUCGACGGGUGCUCACUCACGGCCGCCUUCUGUCUGUGCUUCUCUUCUCAGGACGACGGUCUUGCGGCACAUGGCGCCGGAGCUGAGCCUGGGCAUGAGGAGCGACGGCUACGUGCGUGCCCGCGACCUGCUCGGCCUCAGCCUGCAGACCUUCGCCAAGGCUCCCCUCAAGUCCCACUCGGUGGAUGAAAUCAGGGAGGCGGUCAGGCGAGACAACAAGCAGAGGUUCAGUCUGUUGGAGGAGGAUGGCGAGCUGCUGAUUCGGGCUAACCAGGGGCACACUGUGACAACUGUUGCAUCAGAGAGCUUGCUGAAACCAAUUUUAUCAGCCGACGAAGUCUCAGUUUGUGUCCAUGGGACCUACAGGAAGAAUCUUGAUUCAAUAUUGCAACAUGGACUAAAACGUAUGGAAAGGCUACAUGUACAUUUCUCAAGCGGGUUGCCAUCAGACGAAGGAGUCAUAAGCGGUAUGCGGCGUAGCGCAAACAUAUUGAUACACCUGGAUGUCCACAAGGCGCUGCAAGAUGGGAUGAAGCUAUACAUCUCCGACAACAAGGUGAUACUGACAGAGGGUUUCGAUGGCGUCGUCCCCGUCAAGUACUUGGAGAAGAUGGAGUCGUGGCCAGGACGCCCUCCGAUACCUUUCCAAAGAUAA
rnacentral:rRNA from 1 species